rnacentral:rRNA from 1 species
AGCAGCAGCCGCGGUAAUACGAAGGGUGCAAGCGUUAAUCGGAAUUACUGGGCGUAAAGCGUGCGUAGGCGGUUUGUUAAGUCUGCUGUGAAAUCCCCGGGCUCAACCUGGGAAUGGCAGUGGAUACUGGCAAGCUAGAGUGUGUCAGAGGAUGGUGGAAUUCCCGGUGUAGCGGUGAAAUGCGUAGAGAUCGGGAGGAACAUCAGUGGCGAAGGCGGCCAUCUGGGACAACACUGACGCUGAGGCACGAAAGCGUGGGGAGCAAACAGGAUUAGAUACCCCAGUAGUCCCUGUCUCUUAUAC